UCCUCUGAACCCAUGAGCCCUGACGGCCACUUCGUCCCCUAAACGGACCUGCACUUAAUCCCUGUUGCCUAAAAGACUGACCCUCUUCUCUAGGCCUCUUAGACUGGCCAACAGUCAUGUCCUCUAUUUCACGCGCCUCUAGCAAUCUGGCGCUAUCAACAGCUGAGGAGUAGGAUGGAAACACUUGUGGCGCCAAUACCAUAUACAGAGAGGAUUUGAGUCCUUUAAUGAAUCUCUUCACCCUCCAUUCCUCAGUGGGUAGAAGAUAUUCUGCAUACCUAGACAGUUGAGUGAACUUCAGAUCAUACUCCUCCACUGUCAUGCUCCCUUGAGAUAGCCUCUCAAACUCAUAAAGUCGAGCAUCCCUGAUGCUCUGAGGGAGAAACCUGUCUAA
rnacentral:lncRNA from 1 species